GUGCUCGCCUAAGCAGUGCAUAUACAAAAUCCGGAACAAUGCAGAGAAGAUCAGCAUGGCCCCUGCAAGAGGAUGACUCGCAGAUUCCUGAAACCUUCCAUAUUUUU